UAAUUGAUCUCAGGGUUUCAUCCAGCUGUUUCUUGAAAUAAACUAGGGUGUCUGCUUCAACAAUGUGGCAGGAUAGCUCGUUCUGUACUCCUGUAAGGCUCUCCUACUAAAAGCAGGCCCUCUGGAUGCUUCCACAUUAAACACACGGAGUAUAACAGCAGCAAUUCAGUUGCUGCUCCAUAGUCUCUGUGAUGAAGGAUAUCACCCUGGUUAACGCUCAGGUUUAUCCCAAAGCCAGUGUCAUGCAAUCCACUGCUGGCACAUUUUUUCUAGCUGUUGGUCCCGACCAUGUUCUUUUCAACUGAGCAGAGAAGGACUGUUACAACAAUCACCAUUGCAAUAUUUAAAACAUUUCUAGUUAACUAACGAGAACAUCAUUUUGCAUUCAGAGACAUUGGUGAGUCGGGGCUGUGAGUGGCGUAAAAGGAGUUUUGAUGAAUCUCGCUUCCCUGCAGGGGCCACACACAUCACAAAGUAGGAGGGGGCCCGUCAGGCAGGAGCUCUGCAUCACAUCGUGGGGUAACUGGGGCAGUAGCCUGAACUGUGGCUGGGGCUGUGGACCGGAGGGUUUUGAAGGGUUAAAAAUUAUUUCUCUAUAUAGCAUGUUCAGAAAAACACUAGUGGCAACAUUAAAGUAUCUGCUACUGAUAAGACUAGGGGUCUGCAGACACAAAGAAUGCUUGUUUAAAGAAUCCCAAAUUUUGUAUAGAAGGCCAAUUAUAACUACCUGCUUGUAGAAAACAUCGAUACAGUUCAAUUACGCAGACAUCUCCUGAUUAAAGCAGAGGUUUGCUUAACCAAUAGAAAUUGUUUGAAGUUUUCUUAUUUUUUAAACUUAAAUUGUAUUUCUUAUGUAAGUGUAUAAAAGGUCAGCUGUAACUUUCCUUAUGGGAAUAAUCUCCCCAAUUGCAGGGAAAGUGCUUCUCCUUAGCUGAAUAGACUAUAAACUCCACUUCUGCUCAACAAAAUGGUCUCUAGUGCAUUUUUACUCUACAGUUUGCUAAUACUGGAGCUGUAAGUGAUGACUCUGCUGGUGCCUUUGUCAAUGAGAAUAAAUCCUGAAUGGAUGCAUCUGGUUGAAAAAAGUUUUUUUUUAAUAAAAAUACCUUGAGGUGAAUAGGACAUUUGGGUGAUUUUCUGCAUUUAAAGUUUUAUAUGUCCUUCAGAAUCCUGUCCUAGGACAGGGGCUGGGGACAAACUCCACAAUGGAUCUCCAUUGUCAUUAAGUGUAGUGCACUACAAAUUGGAUGGAUUCAUUAAACAAUUACCUCAAAGUAUUAUUUUUUAUUACAUCUCUGUUAUCUGUUUUCCUGUUAAUCUGGAAAGUUUAUAAAUACUUUACAACUUCAGCUGGUUUCUUAAGAACUUUCUUGUAAGCUCCUUUCUCAUAAGCAAGAGCUGAUGCAAAACUAAGGACUCAAAAUUGGACCUUAUUUGCCUUGUGGGCAUGUAUUAGGGUUAGUCCACUCUAUAUUAGAUUAAUAAGAAUGUCCACAGGGCAUAUUAACCCUGCCAUGACUCCAGGACUUUGUUAGAUAUGGAUUCAGGGUAAUACACGAACCCUGCAGUUCUGUAACUCCAGGAGCAGGCUGGUCAGUAGAGCUCUGGAGAGCUGCUGGACUUUUGUUGUUUAUUUUGGAGUCAGCUUUUUUUCUCCUUAUGACUGAUGCCUUGGAAUAUUGUGACCCCAAUCCAAAUCAAAAACUAAAUUUAGAAAACUACACAUUGCUUUGUCCUAGUCACUCAUUUUUAACACUGGUAACCCUUAACCUUCGCAAAAUAAAAAAAAAAAUUAAUACAGACCAGCUUGUUUUCCACACAACAUUGGAGAACAUCACUCAUAUGGUCUGAGUACUAAGGGAUUGCUGAAAAACUGGACAACAAACUUACGGAACUGGAUUUCCAAAUCUGGGAAGUAUACUAGUUUUGUUGGCACAUCUUUUCUUGUGUCACUUCCUAUUACAUAAAAAAUGUGUGGAAUUUUCCAGAUUUUUCCCGAUUAGUUUUAAGGAACCUCUUUUGAUAUGUACUGUAUGUGCAAAAUCUUUGUAGCAUAAGAGAAAAAUGGGUAAGAAUUUAAACAUGCAAUUUGAUCCAAAGAUAUUUGUGCAUCUGCAUUCUUCUAGUCUCCGUAAUUGCUUUUUAUUAAGGGGUACAGGAUAAUCUUUCAUAUUUUGUUGGCGUUUUAACUGUGAGAUAAGUGUGGUUGAGACAGCCAUUGAUGUACAGUAGCAUUAACUCAACACUUUAUCACAUUCAUCAUAGAAAGAGACGUGUAAAAGCAACUCCAUUAAGUUGUCAUAGAAUUAGUGACAUGGAUUUAAAGCUUAUAGAAUUGUGUAUUAAGACUUUCCAUGUCUGCAAAGCCAUAAUCCCAUUUCUGUCCUUUUACAUCUCUUGUAAUGCAAAGGCACAAUCUCAGGAGACUCUAAAGACACUUUAAAUUCUUAUUCUUGCACAGUUCCUAUGCAAUAUCCUAUGAUAUUAAGCGAAUUAGACUAUUGUAUGUGAAUAAACAUCUUUGGUAAAUUUGGUUUAAUAAAUUGUGUAUACAAAUUACUGUAGCUUUAUUGUACCUAUCUGAAUUGUAGUUUUUGCAGCCAGUGCACCUCUCUCUGGAUGAGGCCAUCUAAAUUAAAUAAACCCUAACUCGUUGGUCUAAUAGAGACUGAUCGUUAUGUUUGGGGUCUCUACAUUUGAUCUACAGAUCAGAUGUUUGAUUACAUUCUGGGCAUGUUUAUCACCUUUCUGACCUGUACAGUGCUGUGAAAAUAUUUUGUUUAUGGAUACACUAAUCAUCUAGAUAUAUGCACUCUAAAUGUUAACAAGUAGAGUCGUCGUCUCGCUUCUGCUGGGAUUAUGGCUGUAUGCUCUGGUUUUGUCUGCUUUUAAAUACAGUAAGUCAACAGCAAGGGAAAAUCAAUAUAGAGAUUUGCAGGAAGUAGUACUGUGGGAAACUGAGAUGUUUAUCAUUUUAUUUACAAUGUAAAUGUCCAUUCUGUGAAGAAUACAUACUGUUGAACUGUGAAAAUAUUUAUCGGUUUUAAUCUGUUAUCUCAGGAGGGGUGGUGGAAGUAGUGUAUAGCUACCUGCAUGAGGACCGCACUAUCAUUCUCUAUCCAGUAAUUAUCUCCUUUUCUUUUGAACUGAGUUGAACUCAGUUUUCAUCUCUUCUCAAAAGGACCUUUACACUGUAUCUUUGAACCGGAACAUGAUGCAAACAGACUAUCACAUUUAAGUGAUUUUUAAAUAGAACCUUGCUGAAGGAUUAAUCCUGGUCUUUGAGGGAAGCACAGGGUGUGGAUUUGUUUAGCCUAGAUAAGCUAUUUACAGCUCAGAAAGGACAGUUUACCUCCUGUUCAAAGGGAGAGUCUGAAAGCGACAACAGUAGUGCAGCUCAUCGCUGGUUUCUUCUGUUGUAUUUCUCUCCCACACACACAAAAAAAAACUAAAAGCUCAACAUUUCAUUUUCCUUUGGUGUCCGUGCUGUCUUCAUAGGGUUGUUCAUAAUUGCCUGUUUUUUCAUUCCUGUGUCUUAUGUUCUGAUAGGUCUCUAACUACCUUUAAAUUUUAUAGGUUAAACAUGUUUUCAGCAGCUGUACCUAAAGAGGUCAGAUGCUAAAACCCCUUCCCAUGUGCAGUAGUCAGCAAAAGUGAUCAGUUUUAGUGUGAUGGGUAAUUCAGGGAACAACUGUACUAAGAAAAUAGGAAAUUUCAUAUACAGUAUGUGAAUGUACUGUUUUGAAACCUGGAAGCCCAUUAUACAGGAAAGGCAACUAAAGCAGGAUCUAAUUUCAUAAUUCUUUCAGCUUAUUCUGCAUCUACCAAAUCAUUUGUGGUUCAACCCCACUAUUGCACCUCACAUAGUCCUACAUCGUGUUGAGAUAAAGCCUUGUUCAAGACACUGUCAGCCCCUUCCGCAUCUCCUAUCAGCUCAAACUGUGUUUCUUUUGUACAUCUGUUUUCUUCUUGUACAUUAUGGAGAGGUUGACACUAGUCAGCGAAAAUAAUUAAAAAGCUAGUUAUCUCAUCACUUAAAUUGAAGAGAAACACCUUAACAAUACCUAGUUUCACUUCAAACUGCUCCUGUUUCUGUCUUACUGUUUGAGCAGCAGGAUUGCAUUGGCAUUACAGAAGAGGUGAGUGCUGGAGACAGAAGCAAACAUUACACACAGAAGGCAUGGAUGUUUUCUCACAAAGGUUUAGGCUUAGGCUAAACAUACCUAGAUAAUCAAGUACUUUUAAAACACUUCUUCCAGUAAAUCAAAAACAAGGGAGAUGGAAGAUCUAAAACACAUAAGCAAUUUUUAAUAAGUUUAUAUACAUAAAGUAAUAAUUCACAGAAAUAAAUCAAUUUUACAAAGAAAAUGACAA